rnacentral:misc_RNA from 1 species
UCCGGUUUGGCACCGGCAGUCUGACUAGAGUCCCCGACAUUACUCGCUGGCAACUAGUCACAAGGGUUGCGCUCGUUGCGGGACUUAACCCAACAUCUCACGACACGAGCUGACGACAGCCAUGCAGCACCUGUGUUCAGGUUCCCUUUCGGGCACCUCUGCAUUUCUGCAGAGUUCCUGACAUGUCAAGGGUAGGUAAGGUUUUUCGCGUUGCAUCGAAUUAAACCACAUCAUCCACCGCUUGUGCGGGCCCCCGUCAAUUUCUUUGAGUUUUAAUCUUGCGACCGUACUCCCCAGGCGGGAUACUUAACGCGUUAGCUUCGUCACUGAUGGGGUCAAUACCACCAACAACAAGUAUCCAUCGUUUACGGCGUGGACUAC